UACGUAGGGUGCGAGCGUUAAUCGGAAUUACUGGGCGUAAAGCGUGCGCAGGCGGUGAUGUAAGACAGGUGUGAAAUCCCCGGGCUUAACCUGGGAACUGCAUUGGUGACUGGCGGGCUAGAGUAUGGCAGAGGGGGGUAGAAUUCCACGUGUAGCAGUGAAAUGCGUAGAGAUGUGGAGGAAUACCGAUGGCGAAGGCAGCCCCCUGGGCCAAUACUGACGCUCAUGCACGAAAGCGUGGGGAGCAAACAGG
rnacentral:rRNA from 1 species